CCUACGGGAGGCAGCAGUGAGGAAUAUUGGUCAAUGGACGAGAGUCUGAACCAGCCAAGUAGCGUGAAGGAUGACUGCCCUAUGGGUUGUAAACUUCUUUUAUAUGGGAAUAAAAUGUUCCACGUGUGGGAUUUUGUAUGUACCAUAUGAAUAAGGAUCGGCUAACUCCGUGCCAGCAGCCGCGGUAAUACGGAGGAUCCGAGCGUUAUCCGGAUUUAUUGGGUUUAAAGGGAGCGUAGGUGGAUUGUUAAGUCAGUUGUGAAAGUUUGCGGCUCAACCGUAAAAUUGCAGUUGAAACUGGCAGUCUUGAGUACAGUAGAGGUGAGCGGAAUUCGUGGUGUAGCGGUGAAAUGCUUAGAUAUCACGAAGAACUCCGAUUGCGAAGGCAGUUCACUGGACUGCAACUGACACUGAGGCGCGAAAGUGUGGGUAUCAAACAGGAUUAGAUACCCGUGUAGUC
rnacentral:rRNA from 1 species